rnacentral:pre_miRNA from 1 species
UUAAGUCAAACUUGUAUGGAGUUGGAGCGUUUGUCUACGUUUGCCGUAGGGCGCUGUUCCGACUGCAUAUAAUUGAGUUA